CCGUUGGUCGGAGGAAAUGGAGAUGAACGAUUUUAUUUAUUAUUAGGUGUUUUUACUAAUGGGUUUUUAGAGCACUGAAGCUUAAGGCUGCCCUGCGUUUUUCCAUUUUGCUUUNUUUUUUCUAUUUGACGAGCUCCUUUUCGAGUCUCAGGUUCAUAGUCUGUAUUCUUGUGCUUUCAAGGAUUCUUUUUUUUCUUGUUUUUUAAAACUUCAAUUUAAUAAAUAUCUGUGCAAGCUGUAUAUUUAGUGCCAUCUAAUUGUAUUAGAUGUGAUUAAGU
rnacentral:lncRNA from 1 species